UACGUAGGGGGCUAGCGUUAUCCGGAAUUACUGGGCGUAAAGGGUGCGUAGGUGGUUUCUUAAGUCAGAGGUGAAAGGCUAUGGCUCAACCGUAGUAAGCCUUUGAAACUGGGGAACUUGAGUGCAGGAGAGGAGAGUGGAAUUCCUAGUGUAGCGGUGAAAUGCGUAGAUAUUAGGAGGAACACCAGUUGCGAAGGCGGCUCUCUGGACUGUAACUGACACUGAGGCACGAAAGCGUGGGGAGCAAACAGG
rnacentral:rRNA from 1 species